rnacentral:rRNA from 1 species
CCCAGACUCCUACGGGAGGCAGCAGUGGGGAAUAUUGCACAAUGGGGGAAACCCUGAUGCAGCAACGCCGCGUGAGUGAGGAAGUAUUUCGGUAUGUAAAGCUCUCUCAGCAGGGAAUAGAAAAGAAGGUACCUGAAAAAGAAGCCCCGGCUAACUACGUGCCAGCAGCCGCGGUAAUACGUAGGGGGCAAGCGUUAUCCGGAUUUACUGGGUGUAAAGGGAGCGUAGACGGCGAUGCAAGUCUGAAGUGAAAGGCGGGGGCCCAACCCCCGGACUGCUUUGGAAACUGUAUAGCUGGAGUGCAGGAGAGGUAAGUGGAAUUCCUAGUGUAGCGGUGAAAUGCGUAGAUAUUAGGAGGAACACCAGUGGCGAAGGCGGCUUACUGGACUGUAACUGACGUUGAGGCUCGAAAGUGUGGGUAUCAAACAGGAUUAGAUACCCGAGUAAGA